rnacentral:rRNA from 1 species
UACGUAGGGUGCGAGCGUUGUCCGGAAUUAUUGGGCGUAAAGAGCUCGUAGGCGGUCUGUCGCGUCUGCUGUGAAAACCCGAGGCUCAACCUCGGGCCUGCAGUGGGUACGGGCAGACUAGAGUGCGGUAGGGGAGAAUGGAACUCCUGGUGUAGCGGUGGAAUGCGCAGAUAUCAGGAGGAACACCCGUAGCGAAGGCGGCACUCUGGGCCGAUACUGACACUGAGGAGCGAAAGCGUGGGGAGCGAACAGG